GGUGGCAUGGCCAAGCGGUGAGGCAGGGGACUGCAAAUCAUUUAUCUCCAGUUCAAAUCUGGGUGCCGCCU
rnacentral:tRNA from 1 species